rnacentral:rRNA from 1 species
CGUGAUGGCGACCGGCGCACGGGUGAGUAACACGUAUCCAACCUGCCGAUGACUCGGGGAUAGCCUUUCGAAAGAAAGAUUAAUACCCGAUGGCAUAGUUCUUCCGCAUGGUAGAACUAUUAAAGAAUUUCGGUCAUCGAUGGGGAUGCGUUCCAUUAGGUUGUUGGCGGGGUAACGGCCCACCAAGCCUUCGAUGGAUAGGGGUUCUGAGAGGAAGGUCCCCCACAUUGGAACUGAGACACGGUCCAA